CAUUCCAGCCAUCACUCUCCCACCUGCUUCAGAGAAAGGAAGAUGAGUGAGUCUAGCUUGAAGUCUAGCCAGCCCUUGGCCUCCAAGCAGAAAAAGGACGGCACCGAGAAGUGAGGCCGGGGCAGGCUGUGCAAGCAGCCUCCGAAGGAGGCCAGCGAAGUGCCAACACCUAAGAGACCUCGGGGCCGACCAAAGGGAAGCAAAAACAAGGGUGCUGCCAAGAUCCGGAAAACCACCACAGCUCCAGGAAGAAAACCAAGGGGCAGACCCAAAAAACUGGAGAAGGAGGAAGAGGAGUCCUCGCAUCUCGCAGGAGUCCUCGGAGGAGGAGCAGUGA